rnacentral:rRNA from 1 species
GAUGAACGCUGGCGGCGUGCCUAAUACAUGCAAGUCGAGCGAACAGACGAGGAGCUUGCUCCUCUGACGUUAGCGGCGGACGGGCGAGUAACGCGUGGAUAACCUACCUAUAAGACUGGGAUAACUACGGGAAACCGGAGCUAAUACCAGAUAAUAUAUUGAACCGGAUGGUUCAAUAGUGAAAGGCGGUUUUGCUGUCACUUAUAGAUGGAUCCGCGCCGCAUUAGCUAGUUGGUAAGGUAACGGCUUACCAAGGCAACGAUGCGUAGCCGGCCUGAGAGGGUGAUCGGCCACACUGGAACUGAGACACGGUCCAGACUCCUACGGGAGGCAGCAGUAGGGAAUCUUCCGCAAUGGGCGAAAGCCUGACGGAGCAACGCCGCGUGAGUGAUGAAGGUCUUCGGAUCGUAAAGCUCUGUUAUUAGGGAAGAACAAAUGUGUAAGUAACUAUGCACGUCUUGACGGUACCUAAUCAGAAAGCCACGGCUAACUUCGUG